UGGGCCGCUAGCUCAGUCGGUAGAGCAACGCCCUUUUAAGGCGUGGGUCCUGGAUUCGAUCUCCGGGCGGCUCAUC
rnacentral:tRNA from 1 species